rnacentral:rRNA from 1 species
AGCGAACGUUAGCGGCGCGCCUAACACAUGCAAGUCGCACGAGAAAGGGCUUCGGCCCCGGUAAAGUGGCGCACGGGUGAGUAACACGUGGGCAACCUGCCCAACCUUGGGGGAUAACCUGCCGAAAGGCGGGCUAAUACCGCGUACGAGGGCUCGACUUCGGUUGGGUUCUGAAAGCAGGCCUCUGUAUACAAGCUUGUGGGGUUGGAUGGGCCCGCGCUCCAUCAGCUAGUUGGUGAGGUAACGGCUCACCAAGGCUACGACGGAUAGCUGGGCUGAGAGGAUGAUCAGCCACACUGGAACUGAGACACGGUCCAGACUCCUACGGGAGGCAGCAGUGGGGAAUCUUGCGCAAUGGACGAAAGACUGACGCAGCGACGCCGCGUGGGUGACGAAGGCCUUCGGGUUGUAAAGCCCUGUGGGGUGAGACGAACAGCUGGGGUUCAAAUAGGGCCUCGGUCUGACGGUAUCACCUUAGCAAGCACCGGCUAACUCUGUGCCAGCAGCCGCCGUAACAC